UACGUAGGGUGCGAGCGUUGUCCGGAAUUAUUGGGCGUAAAGGGCUCGUAGGCGGUUUGUCGCGUCGGGAGUGAAAUCCACUGGCUUAACUGGUGGCUUGCUUUCGAUACGGGCAGGCUGGAGGUAUGCAGGGGAGAACGGAAUUCCUGGUGUAGCGGUGAAAUGCGCAGAUAUCAGGAGGAACACCGGUGGCGAAGGCGACUACCUGGCCUGUUCUUGACGCUGAGGCGCGAAAGCUAGGGGAGCAAACGGG
rnacentral:rRNA from 1 species